rnacentral:rRNA from 1 species
UAGAUACCCUAUUAUAAAAAUUUAAAUUAAUUUACUAAAAAAUUAAUAGUUAUGUUCUUUAAAUUUAAAAAAUUUGGCGGUAUUUUAGUCUUAUUAGAGGAACCUGUUUAUUAAUUGAUAAUCCACGAUUAAUUUUACUUAUUUUUUAUAAUUCAUAUAUCGCUGUCAUGAAUAUAUUAAAAAGUUUAUUUUCUUUAUUUAUUUUUAUAAUUUAUGUUAAGUCAAGAUGUGGUUUAUAAAUAAGUUUAUAAUGGGUUACAAUAAAUUUUAUUUAUGGAUUUUAAAUGAAAAUUGUAAUGAAAUUGGAUUUAAUAGUAAAUUUAUUUAUUUAA